rnacentral:tRNA from 1 species
AUGGGUAGAGCUCAGUGGUAGAACACACACUUAGCAUGUGUGAGGUCCUGGGUUCAAUCCUCAGUACCUCUG